rnacentral:rRNA from 1 species
UACGUAGGGAGCAAGCGUUGUCCGGAUUUAUUGGGCGUAAAGCGUGCGUAGGCGGCUGCGCAAGUCGGGUGUGAAACCCCGGGGCUCAACCCCGGAACUGCAUCCGAUACUGCGUGGCUAGAGGUAGGUAGGGGAGAUCGGAAUUCCUGGUGUAGCGGUGAAAUGCGCAGAUAUCAGGAGGAACACCGGUGGCGAAGGCGGAUCUCUGGGCCGUUCCUGACGCUGAGACGCGAAAGCUAGGGGAGCGAACAGG